GCCAGGUGUGGUGGUGCAUAUCUGUAGUCCCAGCUACUUGGGAGGCUGAGGCAGGAGGAUCACUUGAGUCCAGGAGGUCAAGAUUGCAGUGAGCCAUGAGUAUAACACUGCAUUCCAGCCUGGGCUACAGAAUGAGACCCUGUCUCAA
rnacentral:SRP_RNA from 1 species